AUGGCGGCCCUCAUCAAGCUCGGAAGCCUUCUUAGGCAGAGUGCUGUGGCGAGCAGUGCCUCGACCGGCUCGGCUCCUGCCCUGUUCAACGCUGCCCGCUUCAUGUGCGCCGGCCAGCCUGCUGAUGGCUCCAAGCUUUUCGUUGGCGGUCUUGCCUGGGCUACUGAUGAUCAUUCGCUGAAGGAGGCGUUUCAAAGCUUUGGUGAGGUCGUUGAAGCACGUGUUAUCACUGACAGGGAGACUGGAAGGUCUAGAGGGUUUGGUUUUGUGAGCUUCGCCAGUGGCGAGGAUGCAAAGAGUGCUGCAGAAAACAUGGACGGCAAGGAGCUUGCUGGGAGGAACGUCCGUGUGAACUUUGCCAACGAGCGACCUUCGGGUGGUGGCGGCGGUGGCUUCUCUCGUGGCGGCGGUGGCUAUGGAGGUGGUGGCGGCGGAUACGGCGGCGGUGGCUACGGUGGUGGCGGUGGAUACGGCGGCGGCCGUGGUGGUGGUGGAGGUGGCUAUGGUGGUGACCAUGAGUCCUACUAA
rnacentral:rRNA from 1 species